rnacentral:rRNA from 1 species
AUGAACGCUGGCGGCGUGCUUAACACAUGCAAGUCGAACGGAAAGGCCACAGCUUGCUGUGGUACUCGAGUGGCGAACGGGUGAGUAACACGUGGGUGAUCUGCCCUGUACUUCGGGAUAAGCUUGGGAAACUGGGUCUAAUACCGGAUAGGAAUCACAUGUGGGUGUGUGGUUGGAAAGCUUUUGCGGUAUGGGAUGAGCUCGCGGCCUAUCAGCUUGUUGGUGGGGUAAUGGCCUACCAAGGCGUCGACGGGUAGCCGGCCUGAGAGGGUGUACGGCCACAUUGGGACUGAGAUACGGCCCAGACUCCUACGGGAGGCAGCAGUGGGGAAUAUUGCACAAUGGGCGCAAGCCUGAUGCAGCGACGCCGCGUGGGGGAUGACGGCCUUCGGGUUGUAAACUCCUUUCGUCAGGGACGAAGCGAAAGUGACGGUACCUGGAUAAGAAGCACCGGCUAACUACGUGCCAGCAGCCGCGGUAAUACGUAGGGUGCGAGCGUUGUCCGGAAUUACUGGGCGUAAAGAGCUCGUAGGUGGUUUGUCGCGUCGUUUGUGUAAGUCCACGGCUUAACUGUGGGAUGGCAGGCGAUACGGGCAUAACUUGAGUGCUGUAGGGGAGACUGGAAUUCCUGGUGUAGCGGUGAAAUGCGCAGAUAUCAGGAGGAACACCGAUGGCGAAGGCAGGUCUCUGGGCAGUAACUGACGCUGAGGAGCGAAAGCAUGGGUAGCGAACAGGAUUAGAUACCCUGGUAGUCCAUGCCGUAAACGGUGGGCGCUAGGUGUGAGUCCCUUCCACGGGGUUCGUGCCGUAGCUAACGCAUAAGCGCCCCGC